GUCGAACGCUGGCGGCGUGCCUAAUACAUGCAAGUCGAACGCAGUGGGGAUGGGUGAGUAACACGUGGGUAACCUCCCAUCAGAGGGGAUAACACUUGGAAACAGGUGCUAAACCGAUACUGAUGGAUGGACCCGCGGGGCAUUAGCUAGUUGGUGAGGUAAAGGCUCACCAAGGCUACGAUGCUUAGCCGACCUGAGAGUGUGAUCGGCCACACUGGGACUGAGACACGGCCCAGACUCCUACGUGAGGCAUCAGUAGGGAAGCUUCGGCAAUGGACGAAAGUCUGAGCGAGCAACGCCGCGUGAGUGAAGAAUGUUUUCGGGUCGUAAAACUCUGUUGUUAAAGAAGCGGUAUCUAACCAGAAAGCCACGGCUAACUACGUGCCAGCAGGCGCGGUAAUUC
rnacentral:rRNA from 1 species